AUACGAAAGGUGCAAGCGUUGUUCGGAUUUACUGGGCGUAAAGAGAUCGUAGGUUGUUUAUUAAGUCGGAUGUGAAAUCCCGGGGCUCAACCUCGGAACUGCAUUCGAUACUGAUAGGCUAGAGUUUGGGAGGGGUAAGCGGAAUUCCGUGUGUAGCAGUGAAAUGCGUAGAUAUACGGAGGAACACCUGAGGCGAAGGCGGCUUACUGGACCAAUACUGACACUGAGACUCGAAAGCGUGGGUAGCAAACAGGAUUAGAAACCCCAGUAGUCC
rnacentral:rRNA from 1 species